AAUCAGUCGCGUACAGUCCGCUCGUUUCUCGUUGGAUUUUCUUGACGACAAAUUAACGAUAUUAGGCUUCGAUCCGUCGAAAAUAUCAAGUUCGAUAACAUCUCUCCUUUGCUAUUUCUAAAUUAAAAAGUCGUUGUACUAAUGCGUAUAAUUUACAUUUUUUCGUGAGAUAUAUGGUUUAAGAAGAAAGGAAGGAAAGCAAAUUGAAAGUUAUUUGAUAAAACGCACGAAAAAUCCACGAUUCGAGGAUAAAUUAACUUAAACGAGGUUGGGCAAUCAAUUUCCGGUUGGAAAGUAUUAAAAGGGCAUGAAACGAUCGGCUCGUUUAUAAUCGAAUCGAAUUAUAAAGAGACGUUAGUUCUGAUGUUGUCAACACUGCAAAAAAAAAACGUGUAAACGAUAUUAUUAAUAACAGGCUGGUAUUCAAACUCGAAUGCAUACUUGUCGAUGGCAAUCGACUUUAAUGUUAGCGUGGGUGGUCACAGGUGAAUGUAUGAAAUUGGUAAUUGUUAAGUGAUGUGAAUUCUUAACUCGGUCGUGAGCAUAGUUAACUUGUGACAUGCUUCUGAAGACAAUGUACAAUACCUAUUGAUCCUUCAACUCAUCUCUCGUCGAAUUAAAUACUAUUGAUAUUACGUGAUAUCCUAAAAAGACAUACCUCAAAGGACACUUGAACAUUUAUUAUUAUUUCAAGCCUUUGUUUCAAGUGUGAUUAAUUAUGUACAGAGUGUUAAUAUAUUCGUGGUACACCUUCGAAAGGAACACAAAUACGUUGGUAUAGGUUAGAUUAGACAGCUCUAUCUCUAUCAUACCAUAAUGUUGCUUCGUUUAACAAUUUCAAUUGCUUGUAUUCCAAAAUAUAUUGUCAAAAAUUA